rnacentral:SRP_RNA from 1 species
GCUGGGCAUGGUGGCUCAUGCCUGUAAUCCCAGCACUUUGGGAGGCUGAGGCAGGUGGAUCACCUGAGGUCAGGAGUUCAAGACUCAGCCUGACCAACAUGAUGAAACCCUGUCUCUA